UACGAAGGGGGCUAGCGUUGUUCGGAAUUAUUGGGCGUAAAGAGCUCGUAGGCGGCUUGUUGCGUCGUCCGUGAAAACCUGUGGCUCAACUACAGGCUUGCGGUCGAUACGGGCGGGCUGGAGUUCGGUAGGGGAGACUGGAAUUCCUGGUGUAGCGGUGAAAUGCGCAGAUAUCGGGAGGAACACCAAUGGCGAAGGCAGCUUGCUGGGACGGUACUGACGCUGAGGCGCGAAAGCGUGGGGAGCAAACAGG
rnacentral:rRNA from 1 species